rnacentral:antisense_RNA from 1 species
CAGUGGGUGGGAGCUGAUGCUGGCUAGAAGACCUGAGUCUUCCGAGAGGCAGCUUGAUUCCUGGAAAAGACUACUGGGCUGGAAGUCAGGAGGCCUGGGGUACUCUCAGUUCUGCCGCUAACAUGCUGCAUGACCAUGGGCUGACUGGAGAACCUGAGGUGCUGUGCAGAGACCAGAGGAAGGCUUUGAUCCCAAGCCUGCAGCCGGUCCAGCUCAGCACCUGGCUCACAUUAGGCACUCAGUGAAUGUUGAUGUGAACAAAUGAACUGAUUCAAAGAAGUGUCUCCUGAAGUUGCUUCUUUCCAAUCCAGCUAACAAAUGCAGUAUUCUGAAUGGAGGUACCAGAGAUCACGUCAUCUUCAGCUUUCUGCUGCAGAUCCACAUGAAGAAUCACACAUAUCCUUAAUGUUAGAUAGGACUUUGCAUUGAACACUUUAAAAUGUGAUGUCUGGCUUUGAAGAGGGUGUAUAACACACAUAAUUUACUGUGCAUCAGUCUCACUAAUGGAAAAUAAACAAUAACCCAUAAA